GGUGGUUACCGGAGGCUCGCCGCUUUACCGACCUAUCUCCUCGCUGCUUCUCCUAUAUACUUGGGUGGAAGACAAGUAUAGAUUGAGGAAGGAAGUCCAAAUCCAGAGCAAGAUAUGGGUGAUUCUUUCCCUAUAGAUAUAAAGCUUCCUGAACUUUGUUUCAACAUUGGAGAGGAACCAAGAUCAGAUGUGAAGAUAAACCAGUUUCCAAACUACGAUGCUGUCAUACAAGUAAAAAGCAUCCUCUCAGUUGCGGAGUAUGAGAGGAUCAAGAAUUCGUUCCUGGGACCUAUUUUGAAGGUUAUCAACAGAGGACUGAUGAUGUCUGGGAAGAUGGUGCACUGUUUUCUGAGCAGGAGUUUAAAGGUAUCAAAGGAUAAUGAACUAUGGAUGCAUUUUGGAGGACAACCAAUGAGAUUCUCAAUAAGAGAAUUUCAUAUGGUCACUGGAUUGAAAUGCACUGAAUGGGGAGCUAAUGAAGAUCAACGGCAGAAUCGCUAUGACUGGGCUAACACUGAAGAUGCUCACACAUAUGAAGAUCUUUUGGAUA